GUGGGGAAUAUUGCGCAAUGGGCGGAAGCCUGACGCAGCGACGCCGCGUGAGGGAUGACGGCCUUCGGGUUGUAAACCUCUUUCAGCAGGGACGAAUUUAGACGGUACCUGUAGAAGAAGCACCGGCCAACUACGUGCCAGCAGCCGCGGUAAUACGUAGGGUGCGAGCGUUGUCCGGAAUUAUUGGGCGUAAAGAGCUCGUAGGCGGUCUGUCGCGUCGAAUGUGAAAACCCGGGGCUCAACUCCGGGCUUGCAUUCGAUACGGGCAGGCUAGAGUUCGGUAGGGGAGUCUGGAAUUCCUGGUGUAGCGGUGAAAUGCGCAGAUAUCAGGAGGAACACCGGUGGCGAAGGCGGGACUCUGGGCCGAUACUGACGCUGAGGAGCGAAAGCGUGGGGAGCGAACAGGAUUAGAAACCCGAGUAGUCC
rnacentral:rRNA from 1 species